ACUAUGCUUGGCCCUAAACCUCAGUAGUUAAACAACAAAACUACUCGCCAGAAUACUACGAGCAACAGCUUAAAACUCAAAGGACUUGACGGUGCUUUACAUCCCCCUAGAGGAGCCUGUUCCAUAAUCGAUAAACCCCGAUCCACCUCACCCUCUCUUGCUUAGCCUAUAUACCGCCAUCUUCAGCAAACCCUGAUAAAGGUUACAAAGUGAGCACAAACGCCCUGCCGCCGCAAAAACGUUAGGUCAAGGUGUAGCCAAUGAGAGGGUAAAAAUGGGCUACAUUUUCUACAUCAGAAAACUCCACGAAAACUCUUAUGAAACCUGAGGGUCCAAGGAGGAUUUAGCAGUAAAUUAAGAAUAGAGUGCUUAAUUGAACCAGGCCAUAAAGCGCGUACACACCGCCCGUCACUCCCCUCAAAUAUAUUUAAAGAACAUCUUAACUAAACGUCCUAAUAUUUAUAUAGAGGGGAUAAGUCGUAACAUGGUAAGUGUACUGGAAGGUGCACUUGGACAAAC
rnacentral:rRNA from 1 species